UCAGCUGUAAACUAUGGUAGCUAAACUACAAGCUACCCGCCAGAGAACUACAAGCGAAAAGCUUGAAACUCAAAGGGCUUGACGGUGGCCCACACCAACCUAGAGGAGCCUGUCCCAUAAUCGAUAAUCCACGCUUCACCCUACCUGCCCUAGCCCCCACUCAGCCUAUAUACCGCCGUCUCCGGCUUACCUAAUGAUAGACCCACAGUAGGCCCCCCUGGCAACCCCAGACACGACAGGUCAAGGUGUAGCUAAUGGGCAGGUCAAAGAUGGGCUACAUUUUCUUAAUCAAGAAAAAACCAACAGCGCUAUGAAACCCCGCCACAAAGGAGGAUUUAGCAGUAAGCCUGAAAUAAACCACGCCAGACUGAAGUAUGUCCUGGGCCG
rnacentral:rRNA from 1 species